GCUGGGUGCGGUGGCACACACCUGUAAUUCCAGUGACUCGGGAGGCUGAGGCAGGAGGAUCGUGAGCUUAAAGUCAGCCUCACCAAGAUGAGGCACUAAGCAAUUCAGUGGGACCCUGUCUCUA
rnacentral:sRNA from 1 species